UACAGAGGUCCCAAGCGUUGUUCGGAUUCACUGGGCGUAAAGGGUGCGUAGGUGGUGAGGUAAGUCGGAUGUGAAAUCUCCGGGCUCAACCCGGAAAUGGCAUUGGAAACUACCUUGCUCGAGGAUUUGAGGGGGGAUUGGAAUACUUGGUGUAGCAGUGAAAUGCGUAGAUAUCAAGUGGAACACCAGUGGCGAAGGCGGAUCCUGAAU
rnacentral:rRNA from 1 species